GUAGGUAGAUAUGGAGUAAGGUUUGACACGUAUAAUAUUAUACAACAUGUUAACAUUGAAUGGUAUGACCAAAAUCUAUAAAUUGUAUAUUGUAUAACUAUAUGAAAUAGUUAUUUUAGCUGGAAAUUACUAUAUACAGUGGCAAGAAAAGUAUGUGAACCAUACUUGGAAUUACCUGCAUUUGUGUUUAAAUGUGUCUUAAAAUCUGGUUUGAUCUUCAUCUUAGUUACAAUAAUGAACAAACACAAUCUGAUUUAAUUAAUAACACAAACAUUAUUGUAUUGUUCUUGUGCACAUUGAAUACAUCAUUCAAACAUUCACAGUGUAGGCUGUAAAAAGUAUGUGAACCCCAUAGGCUAAUAACAUCAACAAAAGCUAAUUAGAUGAGUUGGCAAACCUGGCAUCCAAUUAUGAAUGAGAUUGGAGGUGUGGGUUAGAGCUGCUUGACUUUGUAUUCACAAGAAGCAUCUGCUGACAUGGGCCAUGCCUUGCAUAAAAGAGAUCUCAGAAGACCUACGAUCAAGAAUGGUUGCUUUGCAUAAAGCUGGAAAGGGUUAUAAAGUUAUCUGGAAGAGUUUAGAUAUUCAUCUGUCCACAGUGAGACAAACUGUCUAUAAAUGGAGAUGAUUUAGUACUAUAGGUACUCUCACUAGAAGUGGCCGUUAGAUAUUCAUCUGUCCACAGUUAGACAAACUGUCUAUAAAUGGAGAUGAUUUAGUACUAUAGGUACUCUCACUAGAAGUGGCCGUUAGAUAUUCAUCUGUCCACAGUUAGACAAACUGUCUAUAAAUGGAGGUGAUUUAGUACUAUAGGUACUCUCACUAGAAGUGGCCGUUAGAUAUUCAUCUGUCCACAGUGAGACAAACUGUCUAUAAAUGGAGAUGAUUUAGUACUAUAGGUACUCUCUCUAGAAGUGGCCGUUAGAUAUUCAUCUGUCCACAGUGAGACAAACUGUCUAUAAAUGGAGAUGGUUUAGUACUAUAGGUACUCUCACUAGAAGUGGCCGUUAGAUAUUCAUCUGUCCACAGUUAGACAAACUGUCUAUAAAUGGAGGUGAUUUAGUACUAUAGGUACUCUCACUAGAAGUGGCCGUUAGAUAUUCAUCUGUCCACAGUGAGACAAACUGUCUAUAAAUGGAGGUGAUUUAGUACUAUAGGUACUCUCACUAGAAGUGGCCAUCCAGCCAAGAUGACUCAAAGGGAACACCGCAGAAUUCUCAAUGAGGUCAAAAAUAACCCUAUUGUGACAGAUAAAGACUUGAAUGAAUCAUUGGAACUGGUUAACAUCUCUGUUCAUGAGUCUACUAUACAGGAAACAUUAAACAGGUAUGGUGUUCAUGGCAGGACAUCAUGAAAACAUCAUCCCAACGAUGAAGUACGUUGGAGGGAGCAUCAUUAUUUAGGGCUGUUUUGCCAAUUCAGGGCCUGGACCGCUUGCCAUCAUCGAGAGAACAGUGAAUUCCCAAGUUUAUGAAGAUAUCCUACAGGAUAAUGUCAGGGUGGCUGUGCACCAGCUGAAAGUAAAUCCACUACUGAAUGACUUCAAAAAGGAAAUCCACCUUUUGGGAGUGUCCCAUCAGAGCCCAGACUUUAACCCAAUAGAGAUGCUGUGGAAUGACCUCAAGAGAGCCGUUCACACCAGAUAUCCUAAGAAUAUAGCUGAGCUGAAGCAGUUCUGUAAGGAAGAACGGUCCAGAAAUCCUUCUGAACGUUGUGCAGGUCUAAUCCGCCUCUACCGAAAUGCUUGAUUGAGGUGAUGCUGCCAAAGGAGGAUCAGAUGGUUCAUUUACUUUUUUCACAGCACUGUGAAUGUUUAACGGGAUGUGUUCAAUAAAGACAUGAUUAUAAUUGUUUGUGUUUUGUUAUCUUAAGCACAUUGUGUUUGUCUAUACGUGUGACUUCGAUGAAGAUGAGAUCACAUUUAAUGACCAAUUAAUGCAGAAAAUCAGCAAAUUCCAGCUUUAUACCGUUCAGAGAUUG